rnacentral:rRNA from 1 species
UACGGGGGGGGCAAGCGUUGUUCGGAAUUACUGGGCGUAAAGGGCGCGUAGGCGGCCUGCUAAGUCACACGUGAAAUCCCUCGGCUCAACCGGGGAACUGCGUGUGAUACUGGCGGGCUUGAAUUCGGGAGAGGGAUGUGGAAUUCCAGGUGUAGCGGUGAAAUGCGUAGAUAUCUGGAGGAACACCGGUGGCGAAGGCGGCAUCCUGGACCGAGAUUGACACUGAGAGACGAAAGCUAGGGGAGCAAAUGGG